GUGCCCGCCCGAGAAGGCGGCGCUGGGAGCCGCUCAGAGCCCAGAGAAGCGGCGCGCGGCCAGGAGCCCCCGCUCCGCCACUGCCGUGCCUGCCUCCCGCAGCUGUCUGCCAUGCGCUCGCCGGGGCAGGGGCGCCCGGAGAGCGGCGAGAGCUGGGCCUGAGCCCGGGAACGCGCCUGAUCAGGGGUGGCGGAGCCGCGGUCCCCACAGCCGCCCCACCCGCGCCGCUGCCUCGCUGGGGCCCGGGCCCCCUUCCUGGUCCUUACUCCCCUGCUGGUGCCUCCCUCCUUGGCGCGCUUCCCACCUGCGAUCGGCGCCCUCUUCGCAGUCACGAACUCGCCAGCAGCUAGCAGCACUGACUAGUAGGAGGGCCCGCCGGAGGAGAGCCGUGCGGCCCACAGAAGCGGAACGCGCGUCGAGAGCGCCCUGUCCGCUCGCCCCAGACAGAUGCCCGGUUAUUCAUUACCCCGAGGCCUAGAGGAAAGAGUGGCUGCCGUCUUCCUGCCCACAGCCCGCCGGACCCUCCGUCGCGGCUGCCCGGUCCCCGGAGCCGCAGCCGCCGAGCCCGGCU
rnacentral:lncRNA from 1 species